AGAGUUUGAUUCUGGCUCAGGAUGAACGCUGGCGGCGUGCCUAAUACAUGCAAGUCGAACGCACAGCGAAAGGUGCUUGCACCUUUCAAGUGAGUGGCGAACGGGUGAGUAACACGUGGACAACCUGCCUCAAGGCUGGGGAUAACAUUUGGAAACAGAUGCUAAUACCGAAUAAAACUUAGUGUCGCAUGACAAAAAGUUAAAAGGCGCUUCGGCGUCACCUAGAGAUGGAUCCGCGGUGCAUUAGUUAGUUGGUGGGGUAAAGGCCUACCAAGACAAUGAUGCAUAGCCGAGUUGAGAGACUGAUCGGCCACAUUGGGACUGAGACACGGCCCAAACUCCUACGGGAGGCUGCAGUAGGGAAUCUUCCACAAUGGGCGAAAGCCUGAUGGAGCAACGCCGCGUGUGUGAUGAAGGCCUUCGGGUCGUAAAGCACUGUUGUAUGGGAAGAACAGCUAGAAUAGGAAAUGAUUUUAGUUUGACGGUACCAUACCAGAAAGGGACGGCUAAAUACGUGCCAGCAGCCGCGGUAAUACGUAUGUCCCGAGCGUUAUCCGGAUUUAUUGGGCGUAAAGCGAGCGCAGACGGUUUAUUAAGUCUGAUGUGAAAGCCCGGAGCUCAACUCCGGAAUGGCAUUGGAAACUGGUUAACUUGAGUGCAGUAGAGGUAAGUGGAACUCCAUGUGUAGCGGUGGAAUGCGUAGAUAUAUGGAAGAACACCAGUGGCGAAGGCGGCUUACUGGACUGCAACUGACGUUGAGGCUCGAAAGUGUGGGUAGCAAACAGGAUUAGAUACCCUGGUAGUCCACACCGUAAACGAUGAACACUAGGUGUUAGGAGGUUUCCCCCCUCUUAGUGCCAAAGCUAAC
rnacentral:rRNA from 1 species